rnacentral:rRNA from 1 species
ACGGAGCGGCGAACGGCUCAGUAAGACAGAUGGAUCUGACCACUAAGAAGGAUAACCACGGGAAACUGAGGCUAAUACUAUAUUGGGUGAACAUCUGACCUAUCAGCUUGUCGGUAUGGUAAUUGCAUACCGUGGCUACAACGGGUAACGGGGAAUCGGGGUUUGAUUCCGGAGAGGGAGCCUGAGAGAUGGCUGCCACGUCCAAGGACGGCAGCAGGCGCGAAACUUACCCACUUGGAGGACCAGAGGUAGUGACGAGGCGUAUAAAUGAAUUUACAGUAAACAAGUAAAUGAAAGCGACUGGAGGGCAAGUCUGGUGCCAGC